AGUGAACUGGAUGGUCGCUGGUCACGCUUCGGCGCGGCGAGAGGAAAGUCCGGGCUCCACAGGACAGGAUGGUCGGUAACGCCGACCGGCCGUGAGGCCAGGGAAAGUGCAGCAGAAAGCAGACCGCCGAUGACCGCGCGCGUUAGCACGCGGAACAGGUAAGGGUGAAACGGUGAGGUAAGAGCUCACCAGCAGGCAAGGUGACUUGCCUGGCUAGGUAAACCCCAUCCGGAGCAAGGCAAACAGAGAGCAGGCGUUGUCCGAGCCGCUAUCGACUCUCGGGUUCGCUGCUGGAGUCGUCAAGCAAUUGCCGACCUAGAUAAAUGACCAUCGCUCGCAGGUCAUCACAGAUGGCCAGCGAGGACAGAACCCGGCUUAUACGUUCGCUC
rnacentral:RNase_P_RNA from 1 species